rnacentral:rRNA from 1 species
AAUCAACGCUGGCGGCGUGCCUAACACAUGCAAGUCGAACGAGAAAAUCUCCUUCGGGAGAUAAGUACAGUGGCGAACGGGUGAGUAACGCGUGGGUAACCUGCCCUGGGAAGGGGGAUAACACGAGGAAACUCGUGCUAAUACCGCAUACGCCUGUUGCGAGAGAUUGCAACAGGGAAAGUCCUUCGGGAUGUCCAAGGAGGGGCCCGCGUCCGAUUAGCUGGUUGGUGGAGUAACGGUUCACCAAGGCGACAAUCGGUAACCGGUCUGAGAGGACGGACGGUCACACUGGGACUGAGACACGGCCCAGACUCCUACGGGAGGCAGCAGUGGGGAAUUUUGCGCAAUGGGGGAAACCCUGACGCAGCAACGCCGCGUGAAGGAAGAAGGCUUUCGAGUUGUAAACUUCUGUUUCGGGGGACGAAGAAGUGACGGUACCCCGGCAGCAAGCCCCGGCUAACUCCGUG